UACAACCUUAGCCUUUCUACCAGACCUCUGCAUAGCUUUUCCAAAACCUUGGAUGAGUAUUGGUGUGUCCUCCAGCAAAGCCCGACAUGGAGGCUCCCUUCUCCCCCAAGAGUCACCUCCUUUCUCCUUUAGCUCCUGGGCUCCUCCUCCAUUCUGCUCAGCAGCCUGCCUUAGAAAGUGACUCCCUCAAUUACCUCCUCCACCUUCGGAAGGAUCAGCGUCUUUAAGGCAGGCCGAGAACUGGCAACACGAGUGAGCUCCAUCAGGUGAGGAAACUGAGGCCCAAGGGGAUACAACUGGUGUCCAAGGCAGCCUUCGAUUCCAGGUCCAGUGCUGGGUCCUCUCUUCACAAGAACUCAACUUGGGGAACUGAUUAGCAUCGUCGUUCCUGAUUUGCCGCCAUGAUUAGGCAGCUGUCUUGCUGAUUGGGAGAAGGAAACUGAGGCCCAGAGAGAGGAAGACGCUUGCCCAACAUCCCGUAACUCGUUUGGCACUGCUGAUACCAUUCAGAUACAAAUCCUGUGGCUCCAAUCCAAGCCUCAGAAGUGGGCAAGGGUGAAGACUCAAGUCCAACAACA